rnacentral:rRNA from 1 species
UGGGGAAUAUUGGACAAUGGGCGAAAGCCUGAUCCAGCAAUGCCGCGUGAGUGAUGAAGGCCUUAGGGUUGUAAAGCUCUUUUACCAGGGAUGAUAAUGACAGUACCUGGAGAAUAAGCUCCGGCUAACUCCGUGCCAGCAGCCGCGGUAAUACGGAGGGAGCUAGCGUUGUUCGGAAUUACUGGGCGUAAAGCGCACGUAGGCGGUUACUCAAGUCAGAGGUGAAAGCCCGGGGCUCAACCCCGGAACUGCCUUUGAAACUAGGUGACUAGAAUCUUGGAGAGGUCAGUGGAAUUCCGAGUGUAGAGGUGAAAUUCGUAGAUAUUCGGAAGAACACCAGUGGCGAAGGCGACUGACUGGACAAGUAUUGACGCUGAGGUGCGAAAGCGUGGGGAGCAAACAGG